CAAAGCGAACCGGGGGAACUGAAACAUCUCAGUACCCCGAGGAAAAGAAAUCAACCGAGAUUCCCCCAGUAGCGGCGAGCGGACGGGGAGCAGCCCAGAGUCAACAUCAAUAUUUACCGCAGGAAAAGAAUCUGGAAAGGCCGGCAAUAAAGGGUGAUAACCCCGUAUCUGAAGCGGUAAGUGUUGUGAACUCGAAGAGUAGGGCGGGACACGUGUUAUCCUGUCUGAAUAUGAGGGGGGACCAUCCUCCAAGGCUAAAUACUCCUGACUGACCGAUAGUAAAACAGUACCGUGAGGGAAAGGCAAAAAAAACCCCGGCGAGGGGAAUGAAAUAGAACCUGAAACCGUGUACGUACAAGCAGUGGGAGCACCCGAAAGGUUGUGAAUGCGUACCUUUUGUAUAAGGGGUCAGCGACUUAUAUUCUGUAGCAAGGUUAACCGCAUAGGGGAGCCGUAGGGAAACCGAAUCUUAACUGGGCGUUAAGUUGUAGGGUAUAGACCCGAAACCCGGUGAUCUAGCCAUGGGCAGGUUGAAG
rnacentral:rRNA from 1 species